rnacentral:rRNA from 1 species
AACGUAGGGGGCGAGCGUUGUCCGGAAUUACUGGGCGUAAAGGGCGCGCAGGCGGUUUCUUAAGUCUUAAGGUGAAAACUCCCGGCUUAACCGGGAGCGUGCCUGAGAAACUGGGGGACUUGAGGGCAGGAGAGGGGAGUGGAAUUCCCAGUGUAGCGGUGAAAUGCGUAGAUAUUGGGAGGAACACCAGUGGCGAAGGCGGCUCUCUGGCCUGUUUCUGACGCUGAGGCGCGAAAGCGUGGGGAGCAAACGGG